rnacentral:misc_RNA from 1 species
GUAGGUGAACCUGCGGAAGGAUCAUUAAUGAGUUAGGGUCUUCUAGGCCCGAUCUCCAACCCUUUGUAUAACUACCAUGUUGCUUUGGCGGGCCCGUCUUUAAUCGGACCGCCGGGGGUCUUUAACCUCUGGCCAGUGCUCGUCAGUAGCCUACACAAAACUCUUUUAACCAUGUUAAAUCUGAAACUAGUUAAAUAAACUAAAACUUUCAACAACGGAUCUCUUGGUUCUG